CUCAGAACGAACGCUGGCGGCAUGGAUUAGGCAUGCAAGUCGAACGGUGGUAGCAAUACACAGUGGCGGAAGGGUGAGGAACACGUGAAUAAUCUGCCCUCAAAGUUGGGAAUAACUUUUCCGAAAGGAAAGGCUAAUACCGAAUGUGGUUGUUUUAUCGCAUGAUAGGACACUAAAGAUUUAUCGCUUGAGGAUGAGUUCGCGUCCCAUUAGCUAGUUGGCGGGGUAACGGCCCACCAAGGCAGAGAUGGGUAGCUGGUCUGAGAGGAUGAUCAGCCACACUGGGACUGAGACACUGCCCAGACUCCUACGGGAGGCUGCAGUCGAGAAUCUUUUGCAAUGCGCGAAAAAGCGUGACAAAGCAAUGCCGCGUGCCGGAUGAAGGUCUUCGGAUUGUAAACGGCUGUCACUCGGGACGAAAAAUGACGGUACCGAGGGAGGAAGCCACGGCUAACUACGUGCCAGCCGCGGC
rnacentral:rRNA from 1 species